AUCAUUAUAGAGCAACAACUAUUUUGAUAUUCCACUUAUUUUUAAAGAAAUCAUUUUUAGUAUUUUGUUAUCAUCUAUGGUCAGUGAUAAAAAAUAGUAUCUGCAUUUAAGAGGAGUAACAAGGCAGUUUAACUUUAUAUUGUUUUUCCAAUGUUUAUGUAAUUUAUACAUGUAUCCACAUAUACUCUCUAUAUACGCAUAUAUAUAUAUAUUGAUAUACAAAAAGCAUGCGAAGGUGCAUACAUGAUUUUUUUAUAAAUAUGAAUUCCUACAUAUAAAUUUAAGUAGAACUUUCUAAAUAUCUCAUUAAUUUCUUAUUGGCAAUAAAGAGGAUGUUAAGAAAAAUAUAAGUUCAAUACAAAGCUCCAUGACUAUUACCAUUUAUUACAAUAUUCACUUAUUAAUGUAUUUGAUGGUAUCGUGUCAUUUGAGUCAUGAUGUCAAAAUUUAAUUGCAAAACUACUUUGAUUCUUGACUAUAAUGUUCUUAAAAUAUAAUACAUAUAAAAUAAACUUAAAAUGCUUUUAGAUGUCAUUCUACUAUAGACAGAAUGAGUAAUAUCAAGAUAACAAAUGAUGACAAAUGGAUGUUGCAAAACAGUAACCCAUUGUAGGUGGAAGUAGAAACUAAAGCAGGAUCUUCACAAAAGGUAGAAUUAGACAUAUCACAUGAUCUAGCUAUGCCACUAUUGACUUUAUAUUAAAGAAAGUCCAUAUCCUACUAUAGAGAUUAUUUGGGCAUCCAAUUUAUUUCUGCAUUAGUCACAAUAACCAGGAAAUGGACACAGGCUAUAUAUUCACCAAGUAAUGAAUAGAUAUUGAAAAUGUGGUGCAUUUUUUAAUGGAGUACUAUUCAACUGUUAAGAAAAAAGUAAAUGGAUGGAACUGGAAAUAAUCAUUUUGAAUGAAAUAACUCAGACCCAGAAAGGCAAAUGUUAUUUGUUUUUCCUAGGUUUGAAUCUUUACAUAUGUGUGAUUCAAUUGAAGUACCCAUAGUAGUCAGACAACUAAAAAGGGGUCAAACUUCUUAAAAAAGAAGAGAUGGUAUACAGAUCAUAUGAAGGGGGAAAGGAGAACGAUAGUGACGAAAACUAGAGUUAGAAAAUAUGAAUGUGGUGUUGAGGUAGAAGUAUGGAAAGGAAUACCUCACACUAAAGAUUUCUGAAACUGCUAAAUGGAAACUGACUAUUCUAGAACCUUCCCCAAAUAUAUACAUACAAUUAUUUUUAAAAAAUCCCACAGAGUGACCCUGUAAUUGGGGGAGGGCCAAUGCUUCUCUAGGCAGCUGACAAUAGCAAAUAAUAGCCCAAUGCUUAAUAUGUUUUACUUCUUUUGGAAUAGUUGUCCAUCCAGUAGGGUUCCCACAGACACCCAAACAUUGCAUUGAACUUAGACUUCUAUUACCCUUAGUUCUCUAAAUUCUCUUCAAAAUUAUUUGCUUUCAUAGCAAGUUAUUUUGAAGCCUUAAAUGUAUCAAUCACUUCAAACUAACACUUCAGAAAUUUCACCAUACUUAAAGUCAAUAUUUUUAUGUUGGCAGAUUUUGUAGAUUUAAGAUUUAGUCAGAAAACUAUAUGUAAUUCUUCAUUUUAUAAGAAAAAAUAAUGUUUAAUUUCCUUAAUAUUAAGCAACAAUAAUGUUAAUUAUAAUAUUGAGGGUUGUUCAUCAAGAAGUAGAUCACAACAAUUUACCCUUUGGAUGAUUAUGAGGCCCUAAUGAUUAGCCAUAUACAUGAUUAGCCAUAUACAUGAUUAGCCAUAUACAUGAUUAGCCAUAUACAUAAGGAAUGAGUAACAUGUCCAUUCUCAGUUCUAUUUUGAAAGAUACUUCAGUUAGGAUACUUUAUUGUGAUUUCUCUUUUUUGCUCAUAAUAAUUAAUUCUUUGAGAAUUCCAUAGAAUGCAUACAUAUUCUUCCUCUCCACUCAUCCCAGAUCUACCUCACUUCCCUACAUGUCCAACUUUGUUUCCUCUCUGUUAAAAACAUAUCAAAUAAAGUUUAUGUUGCCCAUAUACUCUUGAGUACAUGUCCAUUCACAGGAACGUUGUAAGCCCAGUGAAGGUCACACUAUAAAGAAAAAUGACUCUCCCUUUUUCAGUAGUUAUCAACUGCCAAUAGCUUAGAUACAAGAGGGACCUUAUUCCAAUCACCACUCAGAAUUAUGGAAUUUUGUUUUCUGGCCUGAGCAUGCAUCUUGUGAAUGGUAUUUCAACUACUGUGAAUUCAUGUGGUGAAUUUUGCCCACUUGUGUCCAGGAAACUUUUUUUUCUUUUUUUUUUUCUUUUUUGUCUACAACCUAUGGUUCUUGUUAUCAGAUCUUUCUUUUCCUUCUUCUGCCAUGAUACCUGGCCCUUGGGAAUGAUAGAGAAGUAACAUUUUGGGCUGUGCAUUCCACAGUCAGUUUUUCUCUGCACCUUUACUAGCAGUGAGUAUCUGUGUUAAUUUCUGUCUACUGCAAAAAUUUACCCAAUGUGUGGUUGACUGAUGCACUAAUCUAUGUUAUAAUAAUCGGUUAUUAAGUCAGUUUAUUAUUGUGAUCGAGUGCCAGAGUAGUAGUGUACUAGGUUUUCCCCUGGGGCCUAUGACUUUUCUGGCCAUAAGUUCGUGGACCAAGUAACAGUGCCAGUUAAUGGGUUUCAGUUCCUGGAGCAGGCCUUAUACUCAAUCAGAAAGUAGUUGGGUACUCACAUAUCAUUCGUGCUAUUGUUAUACCAACAUGCAGGGCAAUCAUUGUAGCAGCUUCCAGGGUUCAGAGCUGGAUAAAAUCAAUGAUUAUGUUUCUCCUCUAGAAGUAUGCAUAGCAUCCUCUUGCACUAUGAAAGCUAGCCAGUCGGGAUGAAGCUUCCUUUUGAGUACCAGCUUAGUACCUAUGCAUUUUAUGACUCAAGUCUAUGGCGUCUUCAAUGAUAAGGUCUUGAUAUCAAGUUCUGGAAGGUAACCAGGACAAUAACUUGCAAUUUUUGGUGGUUUAUGUUAUCUUAAUUGCCUUCAAUUCCAAAGAAUGUAACACAGUUCUAGUUCUCAUUUUUUUUGUGUUAUCUAGUAAAGCCAUUAUAGCCUUGUUAUAGGGUAACUCCGUUAAGUUUAUUAAUAAACGGUUUUAUUUUAUUAUGUUUUUUGCAUGUUGUUGUUCCACUUGCAUCAAAAAAUAAUUAAUGCAUCUGGCAUUCAUCUUACGCCUACCUUUUGGUUUUCUAUGAUUAAAAUAUCUGGCAUAUUUUCUACUCUUUCUCCAUAAAAGUUGGCAUAUAUACAUUCAAAUUGCUGAUGACUCUAUACCAGUAAAUAUCUGUGCAAUAUUAACUUGACUUAGUGUGAUAUCAAAACUAAAUUCAUGAAGUUGGGAGGAUGAUAUAUUGGUGGGAAACCGGGAAAAACUGAAAGAGGGGUUAAUGUGACCAUAUUUAGUUGUAUAUAUGUAUCAAGUAUUUAGAAAUAAGGGAGAGCCGGGCAGUGGUGUCACAGGCCUUUAAUCCCAGCACUUUGGAGGCAGAGGAAGGCAGAUUUCUGAGUUUGAGGCCAACCUGAAAAAAAAGUGAGUUCCAGGACAGCCAGGACUAUACAGAGAAACCAUGUCUCGAAAAACCAAAAAC
rnacentral:lncRNA from 1 species